CGGGCACUCUGGCCUACACACUUUGUAUAUAUUAACUCAUUUACUCUUCAUAACAACCCUGUGAGGAAACCAUCCCAACUUAAAGGAACAACGCUUCCACACGAGGUCUGCUUCUCACGGAAAAUACCAAGCCCUAAGGAAACACCCUUGGGAAUAUUCACUUCCCCUCAGGCAGUCAGUAUUUACCGAGAGUCUGUAAGAGAGACAUUCUCCUCAACACAACAUACAUUCCUUCCUGUGGGAAAGCUUUGGACUGCAUGGCCAGAACUUCCUACGUAAUCCUUUUAUGUUCAC